AUCAUUUCUCUGUAUUUUGACUAGGAUUGAGUGUAGUAUCUAUUUUAAUUAAUUUGAUAUCUGAUUUGCUCUCUAAAUGAGAGUGUUAUAUCAAGCAAAUUUCUUUUAGAGCAAGGAGCUGCAGUAGAGGUUUGCUCUUUUGGAUGUAUAUAUCAACUUGAUGUUGCAGUACCUCUAUCUUUGUUCUAGGAAAA